ACGGAAAGGCCCUGCUUGCAGGGUACUCGAGUGGCGAACGGGUGAGUAACACGUGGGUGAUCUGCCCUGCACUUCGGGAUAAGCUUGGGAAACUGGGUCUAAUACCGGAUAGGAACCAUCUUUAGUGUGGUGGUUGGAAAGUUUUUUCGGUGUAGGAUGAGCUCGCGGCCUAUCAGCUUGUUGGUGGGGUAAUGGCCUACCAAGGCGGCGACGGGUAGCCGGCCUGAGAGGGUGUACGGCCACAUUGGGACUGAGAUACGGCCCAGACUCCUACGGGAGGCAGCAGUGGGGAAUAUUGCACAAUGGGCGCAAGCCUGAUGCAGCGACGCCGCGUGGGGGAUGAAGGCCUUCGGGUUGUAAACUCCUUUCGCUAGGGACGAAGCUUUUUUGUGACGGUACCUAGAUAAGAAGCACCGGCUAACUACGUGCCAGCAGCCGCGGUAAUACGUAGGGUGCGAGCGUUGUCCGGAAUUACUGGGCGUAAAGGGCUCGUAGGUGGUUUGUCGCGUCGUCUGUGAAAUUCUGGGGCUUAACUCCGGGCGUGCAGGCGAUACGGGCAUAACUUGAGUGCUGUAGGGGUAACUGGAAUUCCUGGUGUAGCCGGUGAAAUGCGCAGAUAUCAGGAGGAACACCGAUGGCGAAGGCAGGUUACUGGGCAGUUACUGACGCUGAGGAGCGAAAGCAUGGGUAGCGAACAGGAUUAGAUACCCUGGUAGUCCAUGCCGUAAACGGUGGGCGCUAGGUGUGAGGGUCUUUCUACGACUUUCGUGCCGUAGCUAACGCAUUAAGCGCCCCGCCUGGGGAGUACGCCGCAAGGCUA
rnacentral:rRNA from 1 species